UACGGAAGGUCCAGGCGUUAUCCGGAUUUAUUGGGUUUAAAGGGAGCGCAGGCGGACUCUUGAGUCAGUUGUGAAAUACGGCGGCUCAACCGUCGGACUGCAGUUGAUACUGGGAGUCUUGAGUGCACACAGGGAUGCUGGAAUUCAUGGUGUAGCGGUGAAAUGCUCAGAUAUCAUGAAGAACUCCGAUCGCGAAGGCAGGUAUCCGGGGUGCAACUGACGCUGAGGCUCGAAAGUGCGGGUAUCAAACAGG
rnacentral:rRNA from 1 species